UGUCCCGGUUUAAGCGUGUAGGCUGGUUUUCCAGGCAAAUCCGGAAAAUCAAGGCUGAGGCGUGAUGACGAGGCACUACGGUGCUGAAGCAACAAAUGCCCUGCUUCCAGGAAAAGCCUCUAAGCAUCAGGUAACAUCAAAUCGUACCCCAAACCGACACAGGUGGUCAGGUAGAGAAUACCAAGGCGCUUGAGAGAACUCGGGUGAAGGAACUAGGCAAAAUGGUGCCGUAACUUCGGGAGAAGGCACGCUGAUAUGUAGGUGAAGUCCCUCGCGGAUGGAGCUGAAAUCAGUCGAAGAUACCAGCUGGCUGCAACUGUUUAUUAAAAACACAGCACUGUGCAAACACGAAAGUGGACGUAUACGGUGUGACGCCUGCCCGGUGCCGGAAGGUUAAUUGAUGGGGUCAGCGCAAGCGAAGCUCUUGAUCGAAGCCCCGGUAAACGGCGGCCGUAACUAUAACGGUCCUAAGGUAGCGAAAUUCCUUGUCGGGUAAGUUCCGACCUGCACGAAUGGCGUAAUGAUGGCCAGGCUGUCUCCACCCGAGACUCAGUGAAAUUGAACUCGCUGUGAAGAUGCAGUGUACCCGCGGCAAGACGGAAAGACCCCGUGAACCUUUACUAUAGCUUGACACUGAACAUUGAGCCUUGAUGUGUAGGAUAGGUGGGAGGCUUUGAAGUGUGGACGCCAGUCUGCAUGGAGCCGACCUUGAAAUACCACCCUUUAAUGUUUGAUGUUCUAACGUGGACCCGUGAUCCGGGUUGCGGACAGUGUCUGGUGGGUAGUUUGACUGGGGCGGUCUCCUCCUAAAGAGUAACGGAGGAGCACGAAGGUUGGCUAAUCCUGGUCGGACAUCAGGAGGUUAGUGCAAUGGCAUAAGCCAGCUUGACUGCGAGCGUGACGGCGCGAGCAGGUGCGAAAGCAGGUCAUAGUGAUCCGGUGGUUCUGAAUGGAAGGGCCAUCGCUCAACGGAUAAAAGGUACUCCGGGGAUAACAGGCUGAUACCGCCCAAGAGUUCAUAUCGACGGCGGUGUUUGGCACCUCGAUGUCGGCUCAUCACAUCCUGGGGCUGAAGUAGGUCCCAAGGGUAUGGCUGUUCGCCAUUUAAAGUGGUACGCGAGCUGGGUUUAGAACGUCGUGAGACAGUUCGGUCCCUAUCUGCCGUGGGCGCUGGAGAACUGAGGGGGGCUGCUCCUAGUACGAGAGGACCGGAGUGGACGCAUCACUGGUGUUCGGGUUGUCAUGCCAAUGGCACUGCCCGGUAGCUAAAUGCGGAAGAGAUAAGUGCUGAAAGCAUCUAAGCACGAAACUUGCCCCGAGAUGAGUUCUCCCUGACCCUUUAAGGGUCCUGAAGGAACGUUGAAGACGACGACGUUGAUAGGCCGGGUGUGUAAGCGCAGCGAUGCGUUGAGCUAACCGGUACUAAUGAACCGUGAGGCUUAACCUU
rnacentral:rRNA from 1 species